UGCCUUGGUAGAAUGUUCGCCUUUAUGAAGAAUACUUAGCUUAGUUCCAGGAGUAAAUAAUGUCGCUAAAUAGCGCGGAAAAAGCAGAAAUUAUUAAUGAAUACAAACGUGGUGAG
rfam:Legionella sp. LEGN contig_1, whole genome shotgun sequence.